UGAAGGCUGACCCUUCCUGUAAGGGAAGUAACCAAACUUGUAAAGCUUGCAUAUAGAUGGAUAUUGGUGGUGGGACAACAAUAAGUAAAUAAAGACAUGGGUGUUGCACAAUCCUGAAGCCUCUCUGAGCCUUCCACUGGGAAGGGCAAGAGGGCCUCAGGAAGAGGGGUAGGUAAUGGAACCCUGCUACACUUGUCUGGGAUCCUUUGUCAGAGACAUAGUUUGGUGACCCGGAGAUGGAGGGCACUCUGCAGUGGCUCAUGGAGCAACACUGGGAGGUGCAGAAGACACUGCAGGCCUUUCAGCAGUCCCACCAGCUGGAGAGGCAAGCUCCAUUGGCUUGGCAGGUGAGCAACAAUGGAUGUUGCAGGUCUUUAUCAAAGAACAGGCAGUGGUGCAGCAGUAGCUCCUGCAGAAACUGAUGGGAAACUGAGGCACAGAGCUGCAAAGACAUUUGGCCAAAGUCACUCUUCAGAAACAGAUGGAUUUGAUUUUCUCACACUUUCUAUUUGCUGAGAAUAACAACUCUUAAAUCAAAGCUGAGGAGGUGAAAAGACAAGGACAAAAAUAUGCAAACAUCUGUAACCACCUGGACAAUGAAAUGCAGAACUAUAACCUGACAUGCAGGUUAACUAAAACUAACAGAUAAUUAUUUGAUUAAAUCCCAUCCUGAGACGGAUCCUCAGCUAUCCUACUGUAUGGGCUGCAUAGUACAGGUCUGAUAAAUUCUCUGCUACCGAGUGAAGCAAGUAUGUGUGGUCAGGCUUUUUGUUUCAUGACUGCCUUGGCCGCACAUGGCUGACCAUAAGUGGUGACUUUUAAUUUUUUUUUUUUUUUUUUUUGGGGCAUGGACCCAUCACAGAAUCUCCCAGAAACUGGAUUGCAAGGGAGGUUCAUCUGAAAGUCUCUCACCUCUAUUUCUGGGUGGGGAUGUUGCCAACACUCUCUGCUAGGUGGUGCUGGCUGAAGAAAUAGGACACCACCAGUCUAGCUCCAAAUGCACUUUAUAAUAAAGGGGUUAAAAUGUUUGUUUCUUCUUUGGCAUUUUGCAUGGGAAAAGAAAU